rnacentral:rRNA from 1 species
CCUACGGGUGGCAGCAGUGGGGAAUAUUGGACAAUGGGCGAAAGCCUGAUCCAGCCAUGCCGCGUGUGUGAAGAAGGCCUUCGGGUUGUAAAGCACUUUCAGUGGGGAAGAAAGCCUUGGGGCUAAUACCCUCGAGGAAGGACAUCACCCACAGAAGAAGCACCGGCUAACUCCGUGCCAGCAGCCGCGGUAAUACGGAGGGUGCGAGCGUUAAUCGGAAUUACUGGGCGUAAAGCGCGCGUAGGCGGUCUGAUAAGCCGGUUGUGAAAGCCCCGGGCUCAACCUGGGAACGGCAUCCGGAACGGUCGGGCUGGGGGGAAGGGAGGGAAGGUAAAAUCCCGGGUGAGGCGUGAAAUGGGGUGAGGAUGGGAAGAAUAACAGGGGGCGAGGGCGCCCUUCGGAAUUACCACGGCCGCUGGGGGGCGAAGGCUGGGGAAGCAACAGGAUUAGAUACCCGUGUAGUC